GUGUGAAGAAGGCCUUCGGGUUGUAAAGCACUUUCAGUCGUGAGGAAGGUGGUGUAGUUAAUAGCUGCAUCAUUUGACGUUAGCGACAGAAGAAGCACCGGCUAACUCCGUGCCAGCAGCCGCGGUAAUACGGAGGGUGCGAGCGUUAAUCGGAAUUACUGGGCGUAAAGCGCAUGCAGGUGGUUUGUUAAGUCAGAUGUGAAAGCCCGGGGCUCAACCUCGGAAUUGCAUUUGAAACUGGCAGACUAGAGUACUGUAGAGGGGGGUAGAAUUUCAGGUGUAGCGGUGAAAUGCGUAGAGAUCUGAAGGAAUACCGGUGGCGAAGGCGGCCCCCUGGACAGAUACUGACACUCAGAUGCGAAAGCGUGGGGAGCAAACAGGAUUAGAUACCCUGGUAGUCCACGCCGUAAACGAUGUCUACUUGGAGGUUGUGGCCUUGAGCCGUGGCUUUCGGAGCUAACGCGUUAAGUAGACCGCCUGGGGAGUACGGUCGCAAGAUUAAAACUCAAAUGAAUUGACGGGGGCCCGCACAAGCGGUGGAGCAUGUGGUUUAAUUAGAUGCAACGCGAAGAACCUUACCUACUCUUGACAUCCAGUGGACUUUCCAGAGAUGGAUUGGUGCCUUCGGGAA
rnacentral:rRNA from 1 species